GGAAAAUAAAGUCAGAAAAAUAUUUGGGGUGCUUUAUCCUGAUUGGUUUGCAGGCUGGUAAGAUGGAAGUUGGCUAUUUAAAGAGCAUUCAUUUUUAUUUGUGUGUGUGUGUGUGUGUGUGUGUGUGAGUGAAAUUAGGUGAUGUCGCGCCAAACAAGUGCUAUCACAUACUUUCCA